GACGAACGCUGGCGGCGUGCUUAACACAUGCAAGUCGAACGGAAAGGCCCUGCUUUUGUGGGGUGCUCGAGUGGCGAACGGGUGAGUAACACGUGAGUAACCUGCCCUUGACUUUGGGAUAACUUCAGGAAACUGGGGCUAAUACCGGAUAGGAGCUCCUGCUGCAUGGUGGGGGUUGGAAAGUUUCGGCGGUUGGGGAUGGACUCGCGGCUUAUCAGCUUGUUGGUGGGGUAGUGGCUUACCAAGGCUUUGACGGGUAGCCGGCCUGAGCGGGUGACCGGCCACAUUGGGACUGAGAUACGGCCCAGACUCCUACGGGAGGCAGCGGUGGGGAAUAUUGCACAAUGGGCGGAAGCCUGAUGCAGCAACGCCGCGUGCGGGAUGACGGCCUUCGGGUUGUAAACCGCUUUCGCCUGUGACGAAGCGUGAGUGACGGUAAUGGGUAAAGAAGCACCGGCUAACUACGUG
rnacentral:rRNA from 1 species